GAGAUUGGGUUAGUCCGCACGAGCGCACCUUGUCCCUAGUUGCCAGCGAUUCGGUCGGGAACUUUAGGGAGACUGCCGGUGAUAAACCGGAGGAAGGUGGGGACGACGUCAAGUCCUCAUGGCCCUUAUGGCCAGGGCUACACACGUGCUACAAUGGCCGGUACAACGGGUUGCUAAGCCGCAAGGUGGAGCUAAUCCCAUAAAGCCGGUCUCAGUUCGGAUUGGAGUCUGCAACUCGACUCCAUGAAGGUGGAAUCGCUAGUAAUCCCGGAUCAGCAUGCCGGGGUGAAUACGUUCCCGGGCCUUGUACACACCGCCCGUCACACCACGAAAGCUGGCUGCUCCAGAAGUCGCCGUGCUAACCCGCAAGGGAGGCAGGUGCCUAAGGAGUGGUUGGUGAUUGGGGUGAAGUCGUAACAAGGUAGCCGUAGGGGAACCUGCGGCUGGAUCACCUCCUUUCU
rnacentral:rRNA from 1 species